rnacentral:rRNA from 1 species
CCUACGGGAGGCAGCAGUCGGGAAUAUUGCGCAAUGGAGGAAACUCUGACGCAGUGACGCCGCGUGCAGGAAGAAGGUUUUCGGAUUGUAAACUGCUUUAGACAGGGAAGAAAAACGACAGUACCUGUCGAAUCAGCUCCGGCUAACUACGUGCCAGCAGCCGCGGUAAAACGUAGGGAGCCAGCGUUAUCCAGAUUGAUUGGGUGUAAAGGGUGCGUAGACGGAGAAGCAAGUUAGUUGUGAAAUCCCUCGGCUUAACUGAGGAACUGCAACUAAAACUACUUCCCUUGAGUACUGGAGAGGAAAGUGGAAUUCCUAGUGUAGCGGUGAAAUGCGUAGAUAUUAGGAGGAACACCAGUGGCGAAGGCGACUUUCUGGACAGUAACUGACGUUGAGGCACGAAAGUGUGGGGAGCAAACAGGAUUAGAUACCCCAGUAGUC